UACGUAGGGGGCUAGCGUUGUCCGGAAUCAUUGGGCGUAAAGAGCGUGUAGGCGGUCCGGUAAGUCCGCUGUGAAAGUCGGGGGCUCAACCCUCGAAUGCCGGUGGAUACUGUCGGGCUAGAGUGCGGAAGAGGCGAGUGGAAUUCCUGGUGUAGCGGUGAAAUGCGUAGAUAUCAGGAGGAACACCUGCGGUGUAGACGGCUUACUGGACCAUAACUGACGCUGAGGCACGAAAGCGUGGGUAGCAAACAGG
rnacentral:rRNA from 1 species